rnacentral:lncRNA from 10 species
AAGUGGCUUCACUUGUAGGACCAAGUAUGAGCCCAGCCCAGCCCACAGCUGCCGCGCAGCCCUGCGACCCAUUGGGUUAUAAGGUGGAGGUCUCGGAGCUUCUGCUAGGAGCCCCCACCAGCCUCUGAGUCAACCAGAGGCCCCGGCGGCUGACCCCCUACAGCCCCCGGGGCCACAGCCCGAAGUGUGGGUUGAAGGGCUCCUGGCAGAAGCCUGGCCUGCAAGCACCGGCAUCCAAGCUUCCACAGCAAAGUGAUCCCAUGCCAGGAGCAGACGUGACGGCUCCCUCAAACCAGGAAAACCUGUUUAAAAUUCCACAUGUCACCGUGGGCCUUCCUUUUCCACCCUCCAUCGUCCAGCAGGUGUCGGGCCCCAGGCUGGAGGCCACGUGCCAGGCUGGCAGGAUUUGUCCACUGUGAAGCUCGACGCCCCCGCAGGCCCUGUGCUGCCCGCCCGGAUCCCCCUGCCUCAGGAUGCCCUCCACACCCUCCGAAUUCCCAGCCGCUGCUCUGGGGCCUGCACAGAGGGCUUGGGCCCAGCACCUGGAAACUCCAAAGAGGCAAACGGGUUCAUGUCCAGCUUCCAGUUCCGCUUUGUGGUUUGUGAGUGACCAGUGCAUCCCGUUCCUGCUGCAGCAGCUGCAAUGUGCACUGUCCUGCAGGAAGCCCUCGGGGUAGGGCCUGGGGGCUGUGGGAAGCUCAGCAACAAGAUUCCCAACACCAGAGCUUCUAAGAGACCUGGAACCUCUUGAGUGAUGAGCGUGUCUUUUGUGUGCUGACGAGAGGACAGAGCUGGUGACCCUUGGGCAGCUUCAGGAAGGGACUGCUCCCCAGAAAGACCAAGGCAGGACUUAUAGGUGAGGACUUUCAGAUCCACCCCAACCUCCAGGAAGCGGGAGGGGAGAGAGGACAGGAGCUGAAGAUGGAACUGAUUACCGAUGGCCAAGAAUUUAAUCCAUUAUUCUGUUAAUGAAAAACCAAACUCUGUAAAACAUUUUAAAGAGGUUUAUUGGGACCCCUAAUACGGUGACCACAGCUUGGAGAAAAAACAAACCCAAGAAGCCUAGAGUGAGUGUUCCUGAGGUGCCUGGAUUACAGUCUGGCUUCAUGCACUUUAGGGGACAGGCGUUACAGGUGGACGAGAUAUAUAUUGGCUCAGCUCGAACACGCGGGAUAUCUGGAAGCAAGCCUUAUCGGUUAUAGGUGGAUUCAGAGAGUCUUCAGUUUGCGGCUGGUUAAAGGAGCAAAGCUUUAUCUAAAACCUAGAGUCAGCGAUGAGGACAUCUGCACCCGAAACAUGGGGCAGGGGUGACUAACAGGGUGCAUGACUUGACUUAACCCUCGUCUGACAUGGUCUUGGGUCCUGUUUGUAACUGGGGCUCUUAUUGCCACGGUCAGUUCUGUCAGCCUUCUGAUCUCUGUUUUGACAUUAAUGCCUAAAUUCCAAAGGGAGUGGGAACAGCCAGGCGUCCAAUCUCCCUUCCUGUUGCGGCCGGGAACUGUUUUCCAGGUUUCUCUGGGGUCCCCUUGGCCAAGAGCGGGUCCAUGUAGUCACUGGGGGCCUUAGGACGUUAUUUUUGGUGCCUGUGUUGGGGCUUAGAAGAUCAUACUCCAAAAUGAGGGCCCCAGCAGCAGCCUCUGAAGCAAGUUUCUGUCUGAGCUUCUCCCAUCCUCUGUGUCUCAGUACCACUCUCACUCAAGGUGCCAUAGAAAUGGGAAUCCUUCUUCCCCACAGUGGGUCCUAGAAACCAGAACCCCUUUCCCCAAAGCCAGCCAUACAACCAAAAACUAGGGCUCUAAUUUUCCCUGUGCCUCUGUGUGUACAAACUGGCCAUAAAGAAAUGGUCUGACCUACCUGGCUUGGCUGUAGCUCCUAAGACCCCCAUUCCAGAGAGGGUCCCACCCACACCCAGAAGGAGAGGGCGCUGCUCAGAGAGGCCAAGGAGAAUCCAGACACACAGACCAGGCUGGCUUUCCCCACUCAGUCCAUUAGCAUCAGAUCCAGCUAAGCCUCCAAUCCUAUUUCUACAUGGCUGCCCAUACUUCAUUGAACCUAAGCAUAAAAAUGAGCUGUUUAUCUGAAGGGUCCCUUGUAUACACAUUAAUUUGUGUGCCUUUUCUCCAGUUAAUCUGCUUUUUGUGAGUUGACUUUUCAGAGAACCCUUGUAAGGCUGAGGGAAAAGCUCUCCCUUGGCCCCACACCUACAUAAUGGAACCUCCAUGAGGUACACAUAAUUUAGGAUGUCUAUCCUAAAUGAUGGGGUUCCAAAAACUCCCAGGGUGGUGAAUUCAUCCAGAUGCCGGGAGGGAGGACGGUGCACUGCAACCCAGGUUGUUAGUCUCAGAAUUGAAUGGAAUUCCAGGACAUCCAGUUGGCAUCCAAGGAGCUGGAAAACUGGGUGGUGUGGGAAAUAAAAACCUGAUAGGUUUGGGAUCAUGAGAGAAAGAGAUACCCUUUAGCCACCUUCUCUGUUUCCUCAUGAGAAAAGAAAGUCAUGUUUAUCUGAGGACUGUGAGUCCUUUUAAAUUAUCAGGCCCAAGGUGUUAAGAUGAGGCAGCCGUCAUGUCCUACUCCCCCCUGCCUACUCAAGCUGUGUAUUCAUCUCUGGAAACUGCUUGCUGUUGCCACAAGAGGCUAUAAAUUAAUCGAACAAUGCUACACUGGACACUGUAACCACACCCUAUAGCUUAACAAUAUAUAGCCCAUCAAUAGCUUAUUUUUUUUUGAGACGGAGUCUUGCUCUGUCACCCAGGCUGCAGUGCAGUGGUGUGGUCUCAGCUUACUGCAACCUCUGCCUCCUGGAUUCAAGCGAGUCUCAUGCCUCAGCCUCCAGCGUAGCUGGGAUUACAGGCACACGCCACCACACCAGGAUAAUUUUUUGUAUUUUUAGUAGAGACGGGGUUUCACCAUGUUGGCCAGGCUGGUCUCAAACUCCUCACCUCAAAUGAUCCGCCUGCCUUGGCCUCCCAAAGUGCUGGGAUUACAGGUGUGACAACACUCAGCCUAGCUUAUGUUAUUUUAAUGUAAAUUCUUGGUAAACAACUUGGGACCUGCCUCUUCUCCCCAGAGUCCUGGAUAACCCUCUCUGCCCUGUCUCCUUCCCACCUACCGCCCUGAAGGCUGCUUCCGCCUCUGCCCAGACUGCAGAUGCUCCCAGGCUGUGUCCUCUGCCCGCCUCUUCUCUCCAGCCCUCUCUCAUGGCAGUCCCACCUGACAACUCCCAUGGCCUCCUGGGUGUCCUGCAAAGGCUUUGUCACUGGUGUCACUCCUCCAGGCCUCAGAUAAUUCCAGAUACACAAGCGCUCUCCCAACAAGCCAUAUUCUCACCUCUGCAAAGCAUUUCCAAGCAUCUCCGUUUCCUCUGCAUAAGCGACACGGCCCAGCCACCCGAGCCCUCGUUGCCAUCCACCACUGGGCAUCAGCUUCCACUCCCGUCUUUCUCGUGUCCUCUGGUCCAGCCCCUGGUGAGCUCCAGCCAAGCACCGCCUACUGGGCCUCUGGUCUUUACCUGUUCUGUUCCCUCUGCCUGGAGUUUUUUUAAGUAGAAAAAUGCGAGAAUGUGGAGUGGGAAUGUAAAAUGGUGUGGCUGCUGCAGAAAACACUUUGGUGGUUCCUGAAAAAGUUUAGGCAUACACUUAGCAUGGGACUCAGCAUUUACCCCUUAAGCACACGCCCCAUGGAAACAAAACCUGUUCCCUCGGAAACGCGCACACAGACGCUCGUAGCUACGUCCUUCGUAACAGCUGGAAGGCGGAUGUUGGGAACAGGCCCCCCAAAAUCUGGCCAUAAACUGGCCCCAAAACUGGCCAUAAACAAAAUCUCUGCAGCACUGUAACAUGCUCAUGAUGGUCAUGACGCCCACGCUGGAAGGUUGUGGGUUUACCGGAAUGAGGGCAAGGAACGCCUGGCCCAUUCAGGGCGGAAAACCGCUUAAAGACAUUCUUAAUCCACAAACAAUAGCGUGAGCGAUCUGUGCCUUAAGGGCAUGCUCCUCCUGCAGGUAACCAGCCAAACCCAUCCCUUUAUUUCCAGCCCAUCCCUUUAUUUCCCAUAAAGAAUGCCUUUAAAUCUAUAAUCUAUAAAAACAAUGCUUAUCACUGGCUUGCUGUCAAUAAAUAUGUGGGUAAAUCUCUGUUCAAGGCUCUCAGCUCUGAAGGCUGUCAGCCCCGAUUUCCCACUCCACACCUCUGUAUUUCUGUGUGUGUGUGUGUCUUUAAUUCCUCUAGCGCCGCUGGGUUAGGGUCUCCCUGACCGAGCUGGUCUCGGCAGGCGGAGACGACCGGGUGUCCACCACAGGUGAAGGGAUUAACAAAUGGUGCCCGGUCCCUGGGGUGGGAUAUUAUGCAUCUGUGAACAGAAGUGAGACACUGAUACACUGAGGGGACUCAGGGGCCACCACUGGGAUGAGGCUUGGAAAUGUGGCUUCCACCGAAAGAAGUGAGACACAAACGUUCGCACACCGCGUGAUUCCUUUUAUAUGAAAUAUCCAAAACGGACAAAUCCAUAGAGACAGAAAGCAGAUCUGUGGUUUCCAGAGGAUGGGGAAGG